UUGAGUGGGUCAUGGUGUGGUUCCAGGUGUGAAAAAUUUCAAACACGUGGUGCGCGCGCCACUAUGUAUGUAAACCCGAACCCGCAGCUCUGGUCCUCGCCGCGAUCCUCCCAGUGGGGACAGGGCCAUCACUCGCUCUCUUUCUCUUUUGCCUCCCUUUGCUUUCUCUAAUCCGAGGUUCUUAAGGAGACGGAUGAUUUCAUGAUCAGAAUUUUUUUUUGAAGAAGAUGGAUGGUUUUAUGACCAGAAUCUCGAGAUGGUUAAAGGUGACUUGUGGGGACAUGGGAGAACUUGAUGAAGAUCAGAAGAAUUAAGAAACUAGAGAGAUGGAACUGACAAACCAUAUAAAUCAAAAGAUAGAAUCUGACAAUGUUGUUUACCACUCAUGAAUUAUUUGCAUUCAGUUAAUUAUGCAUUAGCAGCAUCUACCAACUGAAAGUAGAGUUAUCAGAGGAGAAACUUGGGAUCUUCAGAUGAUUACUCAUAGCUCAUUUAAUGUUCACAAACAUGACACGCUAGGAGAUCUAUAUCUUUGGAUGCAUGAGUAAUGAGCCCCAUGUAUCAUGAUUAAAAAAUGAAUAUAGCCCAUCACCCUCCUCUA